rnacentral:rRNA from 1 species
GACGACCGCUGGCGGCGUGCUUAACAAAUGCAAGUCGAACGAAGUGGCGAACGGGUGAGUAACGCGUAAUCAACCUGCCCUUCAGAGGGGGAUAACAGUUGGAAACGACUGCUAAUACCGCAUACUGAAGGAGGGGAUUGCGUCGGAGUAGCUAGUGGGAGGGGUAACGGCCCACCAAGGCGAGGAUCAGUAGCCGGGUUGGGAGGAAGACCGGCCACAUUGGGACUAAGUAACGGCCCAGACUCCUACUGGGGGCAGCAAUGGGGACUCUUCGGAAAUUGACGAAAGUCUGACUUAGCAAAGGCGCGGUAGUGAAGACGGCCUUCGGGUUGUAAAGCUCUGUUAAUCGGGACGCGGUACCGGAAUAGAAAGCCACGGCUAACGACGUGCCAGCCGCCGCGGUAAUUC